rnacentral:lncRNA from 1 species
AUCCAUGUAGGUGGAGUUUAUUACUGCUUUUUACAAGUAAGUGCUAGACAACAGUUUCACGUCAUAGCCCCAUAUUUUGUGCAGGUGAACUGAAUGGCGGAUGGAUAGUUUUUAUGUACUAAGAGGAAGAAUUCCCACGGAACCCUGAGUAAGCUUUAAACCAAAAGGGAAAACAAGGGUUAAGUACAGUGACCACUGACUUUUUGGUUUUGUGUUGCCCCAGAAAUGUAAAGUAGAGAUUGGGCUGUGGAAAUCGUUAGUGCCUUCAAUAGAUUUCUCUCCUAACAAAGCUUCCUUUUAGUUCAACAGGACCAGACAAUAAUCAGGAAAGCAAGUGCAUAAAAACCCAGCAGUGUACUUGUGAACCUCAGUGAACCAGCCUCAGAACGUUGGCUUGUGAAGGCGGCCCUACUUCCUUGCUUCAGCGUCCGCAGCAUUCCCGGUGUGCAUGCCGUUUGUGAGAACUUAGUGUCAACCCUCUUUAUCCAGUGCAAACUUGAAAUUCUGAUGCGCUUUUCCAGGGUGGCAUUUUUUUUUCAGAGUAUUGAAUUUACGAUAUAGUAAUUUAUAGUGUAGCUUUUUAUACAUAAAUGUGAUAUUUUUAAAAGGAGCUACCUGACUCAGUCAGUAUAAUAACAGAGCCUAUUAUAAGCUGAGCUGCACUCGGGGCUCACACUGUGCCAAACAUAAACGUGCAAGUGUGUGUGAAAAGCACGUCUGAUUGUGAAGCCCUUAACUCCCUGCUCCUUAUGUUAAAGUCAGCCUGAAAACCAUGAUGGUUCAUGGUUUAGACAGUUCAGUCUGUAAUUUCACAUUUGCCAGCGUCUAUGCUAAUCCUUAAUUUCUCAGAUCACUAUCAAAAACAUCAAGGAAGUCAGGCUUGGUGGCACAUACCUAUAAUCCCAGUACUUAGAAGCCUGAGGCAAGAAGAUGGUGGUUUUGAGACCAGCCUGGGCUACAUAGUGAGUUCAAGGCCAACCUGAGCUACAUAGUUAUACCCUGUUUCAAA